UACGUAGGUGACAAGCGUUGUCCGGAUUUACUGGGUGUAAAGGGCGCGUAGGCGGGAUAGCAAGUCAGUCGUGAAAUGCCGAGGCUUAACCUCGGAGCUGCGAUUGAAACUGUUAUUCUUGAGUAUCGGAGAGGAAAGCGGAAUUCCUAGUGUAGCGGUGAAAUGCGUGGAUAUUAGGAGGAACACCAGUGGCGAAGGCGGCUUUCUGGACGACAACUGACGCUGAGGCGCGAAAGUGUGGGGAGCAAACAGG
rnacentral:rRNA from 1 species